GAGUUUGAUCCUGGCUCAGGAUGAACGCUAGCGGGAGGCCUAACACAUGCAAGCCGAGCGGUAUUUAUUCUUCGGAAUAGAGAGAGCGGCGUACGGGUGCGUAACACGUGUGCAACCUACCUUUAUCAGGAGGAUAGCCUUUCGAAAGGAAGAUUAAUACUCCAUAAUAUAUUAGAUGGCAUCAUUUAAUAUUGAAAACUCCGGUGGAUAGAGAUGGGCACGCGCAAGAUUAGAUAGUUGGUGAGGUAACGGCUCACCAAGUCAUUGAUCUUUAGGGGUCCUGAGAGGGAGAUCCCCCACACUGGUACUGAGACACGGACCAGACUCCUACGGGAGGCAGCAGUAGGGAAUCUUCCGCAAUGGACGCAAGUCUGACGGAGCAACGCCGCGUGAGUGACGAAGGUUUUCGGAUCGUGAAACUCUGUUGUGAGGGAAGAACACGUACCAGGUAACUACUGGUACCUUGACGGUACCUCACCAGAAAGCCACGGCUAACUACGUGCCAGCAGCCGCGGUAA
rnacentral:rRNA from 1 species